GACAGUUGGCCAGAUGAUGGAGGGAGGCUGGGAGGGGGUGUUGCUGAUGGUUGGCCUGGUGGUGGAGGGAGGCUGGAGUCCAGGCUGCCUGACUCCUGUGGCCCCUGUGGCACCCACUCCCCCUGCCCCCCAGGGUGGGAAGUGUGGGCUCCACCUCCCCCACCUGCUAGGGAAUAGAUUCCUUCCCACGAUGUGCAGCAGGACCUGGCCCUCCGUGGCCUGAAGUCUCGCUGGAGGACAGGGAGGUGGGGUCUCAUGAUGGAUUGGCUGGGUGAGAAUAGAGGUUGGAGAGGGAGGGAGGGUGUGACUCUGUGAGGGUGGGGAUGGGUGGGACUUGGGGCUCUAUGAUGUGUCUGAGAGCUGGGGCUUUGCCCAGACGUUCAUGUGUGGAAGCGGCAUUUGUCAUCAAAUUGUCCAGAAUCAGGAACCAGCACCUCCUCCUGCGCUAAGUAUCAUGAUGACUGGGCAGGCCCAAAUGGGGUGGUUGCUGAUGUGGACUACAGCGCCUGGCAGGGAGAGAUUGGCUCACCUGGACGUGAGGGCAGGCGUUGACUGGCUUGUUGCCAGGCCUGGGGAAGUGGGGAGCUGUGGGUUGAUGUCUGUUUCUGAGACUUCCAUAGGAAUCACCUGGGCAGGGGCUGGGCCGGGGUGAGCAGGGCGUGCAUGAUGUGUGCUUGUGUGGCAGGCCCUCGUCCAUGUCAGUCACAGCCUCCCGACUGCAGCGAGCUCUGCUCCAGAGUUCAGAAAGGAGAGAAUAGAAAUGCCGAUGGCUCUUCUGCAGAAAGGAAUUAGCAUCCAAUUAUGCCUGGGCUAUAUAUACCACCUCACCUGCCUGCUAGGGAAGGCCAGGAGUGCUGUCUGUGCCUGAGACUGUGAAAGGGCUUUUUCCUUUGGAGAUGGAGGGGUUGAAGGGAUAGGAUUUGUUGCCUGUGAACCCCACCCUUGGACAGAAGAACACAGGUAGGACUUAGGAGCGCAGAGGAAAGGCCAAUGGGGAGUAAGCUGGGCUGGGAUGGAGUUUUUUUUUUUUUUUUUGAGACAGAGUCUCGCUCUGUCGCCAGGCUGGAGCGCGGUGGCGCUGCAACCUCCACCUCCCGGGUUCAAGUGAUUUUCCCACCUCAGCCUCCCGAGUAGUUACAGGCAUGCGCCAUCACGCCCAGCUAAUUUUUGUAUUUUUAGUAGAGAUGGGAUUUCACCAUGUUGGCCAGGAUGGUCUGAAUCUCUACCUUCCACCGUAGAUGUCUCCCAGACGGACCUCGUGAUCCACCUGCCUCGGCCUCCCAAAGUGCUGGGAUUACAGAUGUGAGCCACCGCACCUGGCCUUUUUUUUUUUUUUUUUUAAGAGACAAGGUCUCACUCUGUCACCCAGGCUGGAGUGCAGUGAUGCAGUCAUGGCUCACUGCAGUCUUGACUUACAGCUUUUAGUGAUCCUCCCACCUCAGCCUCUCGAGUAGCUGGGACUACAGAUGUGCAUCACCAUGCCUGGCUAGUUCUGUUUAUUUUUUGUAGAGAUGGGAUCUCACUGUGUUGCCCAGGCUGGUCUCAAACUCCUGGGCUCAAGCGAUCCAAAGUGCUGAGACUACAGGCUUUUGAGACGCCAUGGCUGGUCAAAUGGAGGAUGUUCUUUCCAGGACUGAUAGCAUGGCCCAGGGGUGUGGGUUGUAGUGAGCCCUAAUUCUUAGAGGUGUGCGAGCUGGUCUUUGACCUGACCUAAUUCUUAAAGUUUUUAUUUAUUUGUUUAUUUUUUUGGGACAGAGUCUUGGCCUGUGGCCCAGGCUGGAGUGCAGUCGUGCCAUCUUGGCUCACUGCAACCUCCGCCUCCUGGGUUCAAGUGAUUCUCCUGCCUCAGCCUCCCAAGUAGCUGGGAUUACACAGGUGCAUGCUCCCACA
rnacentral:lncRNA from 1 species